UAAUGGAUCGGAACGUGUCCCGUAGUGGGGGAGUAGCCCGGCGAAAGCCGGAUUAAUACCGCAUAUGCUCUACGGAGGAAAGUGGGGGACUCGCAAGGGCCUCACGCCAUGGGAGCGGCCGAUGUCCGAUUAGCUUGUUGGCGGGGUAAUGGCCCACCAAGGCGACGAUCGGUAGCUGGUCUGAGAGGAUGAUCAGCCACACUGGGACUGAGACACGGCCCAG
rnacentral:rRNA from 1 species